GGGAGACUUGUGGUGCCCCUGUGAACUUGUAAAGCAGUGUACUUGCGGAGGAUUUGUCAAUAAACUUAGGAAAUAGUGCCCGUGUUUUUCCCUUGUGGCCUGGCCUCGUGUGUGUGUGUGUGUGUGUGUGUGCACGCGCGCCUUGUCCCGGCGUUCAGAGUGUGACUCCGCUGCUCUACCUAUACCCGUGUGGAUAACACGCCCGCCCGGAGUGAGGGAUGGGCGCAACAAUAACAUCUUUGUUGGCCCUGUCGAAGGCACCCUUAAGAUCAACGAAAGCUCUGCAGGACGGUUAUAUGAACUGGCAGCCAUUGUUGAUGUUUGCAUUGCUUCCUGGGGCCGGGAGAAUUCCACGAUUACAGCUCAAAUAGAAGGAGUGAGUGAGGCAGGAUGAGUCUGAUGGGUGCUUAGGCUGAGAGUCACGCCGCAGGGUCAGUGAGGGGUACGGCCGGCAGUAUGGUGACUCCUACGGCGGCGGUAGGUCAUCACAGGAGUACUCAUGUGACAGGAGCAGCAGUUGGGGGGCGGUCACAGGGGAGGGGGCUGAUGGCGAAACCAUGGGAGGGGGAGAUGGUGCCGGGGAGUGGCAGGGUGGCCGGCCUUAUGCUGCAGGGGACGGCCACUGCUCCGGACAUCAUGGCGUAUGGAUAACCUGGAGUCCGAAGUGGCACUUAAUAUUCUCAAUGCUGUGGUGACUAAUAAAGAAGAGGCACAGUGGUCAAGACAGGGACUGGGAAGGCAGACAGAAGAGGAGGAUGGACUGGAUGAGUAACAGCAGUACUAGUAGAAGUAGUAGUAGUGAUAGUUUGAUCAUAGUAGAGAUAGCAGUAAAAUAUCUAGUUGUAUUAUUAGAAGUAGUAGCAAUAGUAGAAGUAAUACCAAUAGUAGAAGUAGCUUGGUCAAAGUAGUAAUGGUAAUAGUAGUGAUAGCAGGAUGUUAUUUAACUGUAUAAAAGAAAGAUUAAAUCCAUAUAUAAAACUUAUUGGCAGGACCAGUAGCAGCAGCAGUAGUAGUAUUAGGAACACCGUGGUCAUAAUAACAGAAGUAGAACCAUAACAAUUCACUAUAUAAAACAAAAAGCACCAAACUAAUAUAGCAUCAACAACAACAGCAACAGUAGCAGUAGUAGUAGUAGUAAUAGUAGCAGCAGUAGUAGUAGUAGUAACAACACUAACUCCAACACUUUACCAACAGGACGACCAGUACUAUGGGUCUGGCUGCGGCAUCCUACCCACCCCCCGGAUGCCCCCAUGCUAACUGCCCUGGCGCGACCCUAACAUUGGCCCUGCACACUCCUGGGGUGUGGUGGGGGGCUUUGUACCAGGGCGGCCGGGGCGGGGGCGGGGUAGAGCAACAGGACUGGGGUACAAGAUGAAGAAAACGUUGCCGGCUAAGAAGAAAAUAGGAGCUAAGGAGCUCCUCCCAGAAUGAGCCCACACCUGCACCUGAGGACACACCCACACCUGCACCCAAGCCUUCACCCACCCCCAGCACCCACUCCAGCAUCCAGCACAGCCCAGGGGAAGGCCCAGGGCAGGCAGCCAAGGGCCGAGGCAGGGGCAGGGGUGUGGCGUGGGGGAGGAGAGUGUGAAGUGUGUGGGUUAGGUUUGUAUGUGGUACUUUGUCUGGGCUGCUCCAUAUGUGGGAGAGCUCGGUUGGUGUAGAGAUGGAUAGAUAGAUGUGUGUGUGUGUGUAUGUGUGUGUGUGUGUGUGUGUGUGUGUGUGUGUGUGUGUGUGAGGGAUUUGUACUUCAUUCAAGCAUCUUUUAUUUUUACUACUGCUACUAUCUUGUUCACUACUGGAAGAUUAGUACUAAGAUGUGAUUCUUGUUAUUUUUAAGGGUAUUAUUCCAAUGUUUUUUGUAUGAUUGCAUCUCAUUCCUGUUGUACUUGAGAGAGAGAGAGAGAGAGAGAGAGAGAGAGAGAGAGAGAACAGGCCCCAUUGCACAAACUAAUGAUAAAAAAAACUCACAACCAUUCCAAAAAGUAUAAAUAUGUUAGUUUUGUUAGUAGAUUUUGCAAGAAAGGAAAUUUGAAAUACAGGAGUGUGUGGGAGAGGCAAAGGAUAUGUAGGACGGCAGAUUAGUGUGUGAAGGAUGUGUAGGAGAGGCUGAGGAUAUCCUGUACACUGUGUCAGGAUGGUUAAGGGUGAUUUGGAAGGAAGCUAGUGUGUGAAGGAUGCAUUAGGUAGGAUGUGUAGUAGUGGGUACAAUGUGUUAAGAAUGAUAUGUAUGUUACAGGAGAUAAGGAUGUGUAUUUUCACCACAAGUAUGUGUAGAGAUUGGUGUUAACACAGCAGGAAGGUUUGAUGAAGCUGGACCAUCAUUCCUUGUGUUGUCUUAAUAAAUGUAUGCAAACUGA